rnacentral:tRNA from 1 species
GCCUUCGUAGCUCAGUUGGUAGAGCAUCGGACGCGACAUCCGAACGUCGUGGGUUCGGUUCCCACCGAAGGCA